rnacentral:rRNA from 1 species
GUCCACGCCGUAAACGAUGAGUGCUAGAUGCUGUGGGUAUUGACCCCCGCGGUGUCGCAGCCAACGCGUUAAGCACUCCGCCUGGGGAGUACGGCCGCAAGGCUAAAACUCAAAGGAAUUGACGGGGGCCCCGCACAAGCGGUGGAGCAUGUGGUUCAAUUCGACGCAACGCGCAGAACCUUACCUGGGUUAAAUCCACUCGAAUCUUACAGAGAUGUAGGGGUGCCCUUCGGGGAACGAGUGAGAAGGUGCUGCAUGGCUGUCGU